rnacentral:rRNA from 1 species
CCUACGGGAGGCAGCAGUGGGGGAUAUUGCACAAUGGGGGGGACCCUGAUGCAGCGAAGCCGCGUGGGUGAAGAAGCGCCUCGGCGCGUAAAGCCCUGUCAGCAGGGAAGAAAAUGACGGUACCUGAAGAAGAAUCCACUGCUGACUACGUGCCAGCAGCCGCGGUAAUACGUAGGGGGCAAGCGUUAUCCGGAUUUGCUGGGUGUAAAGGGGGCGCAGACGGCUUUGCAAGCCAGGUGUGAAAGCCCGGGGCCCAACCGCGGGACUGCUAGUGAAACUGGGUGGCUGGAGUGCAGGAGGGGCAGGCGGAAUUCCUGGUGUAGCGGUGAAAUGCGUAGAUAUCAGGAGGAACACCGGUGGCGAAGGCGGCCUGCUGGACUGCAACUGACGUUGAGGCCCGAAAGCGUGGGGAGCAAACAGGAGUAGAUACCCUUGUAGUC